AGUGAACGCUGGCGGUAGGCCUAACACAUGCAAGUCGAACGGCAGCACAGUAAGAGCUUGCUCUUACGGGUGGCGAGUGGCGGACGGGUGAGGAAUACAUCGGAAUCUACUUUUUCGUGGGGGAUAACGUAGGGAAACUUACGCUAAUACCGCAUACGACCUACGGGUGAAAGCAGGGGAUCUUCGGACCUUGCGCGAUUGAAUGAGCCGAUGUCGGAUUGGCUAGUUGGCGGGGUAAAGGCCCACCAAGGCGACGAUCCGUAGCUGGUCUGAGAGGAUGAUCAGCCACACUGGAACUGAGACACGGUCCAGACUCCUACGGGAGGCAGCAGUGGGGAGUAUUGGACAAUGGGCGCAAGCCUGAUCCAGCCAUACCGCGUGGGUGAAGAAGGCCUUCGGGUUGUAAAGCCCUUUUGUUGGGAAAGAAAAGCAGCAGGUUAAUACCCCGCUGUUCUGACGGUACCCAAAGAAUAAGCACCGGCUAACUUCGUG
rnacentral:rRNA from 1 species